GAGAAUUCCAACUUCUAACCUCCUUCGUUUGAAACUCAUAGGAGUUCAGAAUAAAUCACUGAAAUUGACAUCGGCCAGUCUGAAUUUCAAGAAAUUACCUGCUGAAGACAAGAGGGAUCUCUUCUUCAGAUUUGCAGUCUGGGGAAGACACAGCCUCUACUGUACUUUAGAACCUGAGAUAUGGUGGUGGAGGGAGCCCUGGGUCGAGUGGUAAGAUUCACCCUUAGGUUAGUAUUGACGUAAGGUGACGAGGAGCUGUAGACAAAAGAUUGUAACCAUAAGAACUUCAUAGUUUUUGUAUUUUCACCGAGCUUAUAUUUGGUGUGUUUUUUGUCUUUUCUUUAUGAUUAUCAAUAAAAUGCUUGAAA
rnacentral:lncRNA from 10 species